GGAUGUGGCUCAAUGGUACAGCACUUGCCUAGCAUAUGUGAGGCACUGGGUUCAAUUCUCAGCACCA
rnacentral:tRNA from 1 species